CCUCAAAGGCCUCCUUGUAUGCUUUGUUCAGUAUCUGAGGCCUUGCUCCAUGUGUCCCUGCUGAAUGAAGCUUGUGCUGGGGAAGGAAGGAUCCAACAUGAUCCAAUACAGAGGAGGAGACGGAAAGUAUAUUUAGGUGGUGAGUGCCAACAGAAAUACAGCCAAAACAGGACCUUGGGAAAACAAGAGACAGGUUACAGCAUGCAGGAAUCCCAAGAUCUGUAUUAGUACAAAAAAUUAGUACAAAAUUCUGAGAUCUUCAUUAGUACAAAAAUCUUCUUAAAAACCUAUGAUCUAAGUGGGCCAAAAAAAACACAACCUGGACAGCCCAAAGAGGACUGUGCAUGCUCAGCAGCCACAGAAUGGUGUUGGGAGAAAAGAAAUUGAACACCUGGCAAGAGAUGUGGAAUGCAGUACUUGGAGGAAAUUGCGGGUUCAAACCCUGAACAGGAGCACUGUUAGGAAGGAAGGUACAUUUUGACAUUUUGUUGCAAGCCCCACUUAUUUAAAACAUAAUUUUAUACAUGUAAAAAAGUUUUCAAAUGUGAAUCUGUGCAUACAGUGAUAUCCGUUUGCUACCUUGUUUUCUUAUGCUGGUUCUGAAUUUUCAUUUAUUU